AUGCGCGAAAUACCGAGAUCGUUCUCGGCGGAGAAGAAGGAUCUAGUUAAGACCAUGACCAUGUUUACUUCUGAGCCGUACGUGCACCGCAUCGCCAAGCUGAAACGGAUCUCUGAGCGUAUCACCACGCUCCCGCGGUUGGACCCAGGUCUUGACUCCAAAGUGAAAUCAACGCUCGUCGAGUUGAAAUCGGAAUCCUUCUUAUCCGCCAUGGAGGGGGAGAGGGAAGGUGUCGCGGGAGGAGACGGAGCGAAAUCUUCCGCGGAGAUGGACAAGUCAUUCGCUGCUUACCGUCUCUUCUGGGAACGGACAUGGGGCACUGACUACAGGAUGGGUUUCUUCUCAUUAUUGAGCCCCAUGCAAUAUACACAUUGCACGCCAGGCCGCAUCCCUGUUGACGCUGUUGCAGGGAGCACCUUGCAGAUUAACUCCAUCAAAGUCUAUGCAGAGAAGAACUUGGGCAUUCACUGGAGGUGUAUGGAGUGGUAG
rnacentral:rRNA from 1 species